UAAUAAGUGUUUUAUGGCACUUUUUAAAUCCAUAUCCACCUUGUGUGCAAUGUCGGUCGAUCUUCUUCUAUGAGGAUCGACCAAACAUCAACCUUUAUCUUUUAACUCUUUGUCUGAAAAAUAUUAUGAAUAAACAAUUCAAAAUA
rnacentral:misc_RNA from 1 species